CCUACGGGCGGCAGCAGUGAGGAAUAUUGGUCAAUGGGCGAAAGCCUGAACCAGCCAAGUCGCGUGAAGGAAGACUGCCCUAUGGGUUGUAAACCUCUUUUAUAUGGGAAUAAUACUGACUACGUAUACUCAGUUGCAUGUACCUUAUGAAUAAGCAUCGGCUAACUCCGUGCCAGCAGCCGCGGUAAUACGGAGGAUUCGAGCGUUAUCCGGAUUUAUUGGGGUUAAAGGGUGCGGUGGCGGGUUGUUAAGUCAGGUGUGAAAGUUUGGGGCUUAACCGUUGAUUUGCCAUUAAUACUGGAGGACUAGAGUACAGAUGAGGUAGGCGGAAUUAGUGGAGUAGCGGUGAAAUGCUUAGAUAUCACGAAGAACACCGAUAGCGAAGGCAGCUUACUAGACUGUUACUGACGCUGAAGCACGAGAGCGUGGGUAGCGAACAGGAUUAGAUACCCUUGUAGUC
rnacentral:rRNA from 1 species